UGGGGAAUAUUGCACAAUGGGCGAAAGCCUGAUGCAGCGACGCCGCGUGAGGGAUGACGGCCUUCGGGUUGUAAACCUCUUUCAGCAGGGAAGAAGCGAAAGUGACGGUACCUGCAGAAGAAGCGCCGGCUAACUACGUGCCAGCAGCCGCGGUAAUACGUAGGGCGCAAGCGUUGUCCGGAAUUAUUGGGCGUAAAGAGCUCGUAGGCGGCUUGUCACGUCGGUUGUGAAAGCCCGGGGCUUAACCCCGGGUCUGCAGUCGAUACGGGCAGGCUAGAGUGUGGUAGGGGAGAUCGGAAUUCCUGGUGUAGCGGUGAAAUGCGCAGAUAUCAGGAGGAACACCGGUGGCGAAGGCGGAUCUCUGGGCCAUUACUGACGCUGAGGAGCGAAAGCGUGGGGAGCGAACAGGAUUAGAUACCCUGGUAGUCCACGCCGUAAACGGUGGGCACUAGGUGUUGGCGACAUUCCACGUCGUCGGUGCCGCAGCUAACGCAUUAAGUGCCCCGCCUGGGGAGUACGGCCGCA
rnacentral:rRNA from 1 species